CUACGGGAGGCAGCAGUCGCGGAACUUUUACAAUGCACGAAAGUGUGAUAAAGCGAACCAAAGUGUUCUUCGUAUAGAAGAACUUUUCUUUACUGUAAAAAUGUAGAGGAAUAAGGACUGGGAAAGACCGGUGCCAGCCGCCGCGGUAAUACCGGCAGUUCAAGUUGCAUCCCUUUUUAUUGGGUCUAAAACAUCCGUAGCUUGUCUAUUAAGUCUCUUGUGAAAUCCUAUGUCUCAAGCAUGGGGCUUGCAGGAGAUACUGGUAGACUAGAGAUCGGUAGACGUAAGGAGUACGCCGGAGGUAGUGGUAAAAUACGUUAAUCUUCGGUGGACUAACAAUGAGCGAAGGCACCUUACGAGGACGAAUCUGACAGUGAGGGAUGAAGGCCAGGGGCGCAAAACGGAUUAGAUACCCUCGUAGUC
rnacentral:rRNA from 1 species